rnacentral:rRNA from 1 species
UACGUAGGGUCCAAGCGUUGUUCGGAAUUACUGGGCGUAAAGCGCGCGUAGGCGGGUUUGUAUGUCGAUUGUGAAAUCCCCGGGCUCAACCUGGGAACUGCAGUCGAAACUGCAAAUCUUGAAUGUCUGAGAGGAUGGCGGAAUUCCCGGUGUAGUAGUGAAAUACGUAGAUAUCGGGAAGAACACCUGAGGCGAAGGCGGCUAUCUGGCGGUACAUUGACGCUAAGGCGCGAAAGCGUGGGAGCAACAGG